rnacentral:tRNA from 1 species
GGGGUAGUGGCUCAAUGGUAGAGCACUCGCCUACCACAUGUGAGACCCUGGGUUCGAUCCUCAGCACCACA